rnacentral:rRNA from 1 species
GUCUACGGCCAUGCCACUCUGAAGAAACCCAAUACUGUCUGAUCUCAGAAGCUAAGCAGGAUCAGGCCUGGUUAGUACCUGGAUGGGAGACCACCUAGGAAGACCAGGUGCUGUAGGUG